CCAGGCGCUCGCUCCCUCGUGCCCUCGAUGCACUUGCCCACCGCCGCUCUCCUCUGCCCCAACCCCAACCCCGCCGCCGCCUCAAUCCCACCGCCGCCGGCCUCCUCCUCCUCUAGCACCUCCGCUCCAGCCCCUCACCUUCUCAGCCUGGAUCCGCACGACAAGGUGUGGGGCUAUGGGAGAGAAGGCUCCAUAUCGCGCGACAAGGUGAGGGGGUGCCCAGAUCCGCAGCGGCACCACCGUGCCCUCGUCCACCUGGCCCUCGAGGUCGGCCAUGGAGGUCCGGCCCGACCAAUGGAUGGAUGGGGAUGAAACCCUAGCCCAACACCCACCCAUGGAUGGAUGGGGAUGGGGCGACGACGGCGGUGGCGGCGGCGGCCUUCUCUCGGUGCUUGCUGAUGUGGUGGACAUCGACAUCGGUGACGGGUUGCAGCACGUAGACAUCAAAGGCUGCGGGUGUGACGGAGGAGCACCAUGGCGGGCGUGCAGACCAUGGCUCACUAUGGAAGGCCCUUCCCUUCCCUCUCUCUGUUCGGGCCAUGCUCAGGCAGUCUUUUCUCUUCUCUUCCCGCAAAAAAAGUCUUUUCUCUUCAUGAUUUGAACAUGUUGGAGGCCAUUAUUUCUCCACUGCCGGAGUCUAGCCUCCCUCCGUGGGAUGCCAUGGAGAUGAAACUCCCCUCGACGAAAGAAUUCAAGGGCAUGUGGGAGAGAGAGGAGGUCCAUGGAGAAGAAGCUCUGCUCCAACCCUCCCUGCCUCCUAAUACAAGAUGUCUUUUUUUGUGUGUGCUUGUAUUGCAGCAGCCAUGUGCGUAUCAAAAAAAGGGUCCAGUUUGCAGCAGUCACAUGAUAUGGACAUGUUUUUUCAUCACAAUUGGAUUUUUGGAUUUACUAGGCUAAUUGGUGGUGGUUGCUGUUGUUGUUGUUUUAGCAGCAGCAGCAGCAGGCGGAGUGACGAUGUUGGCUAUGUGCAGGCCAUGGAGGCUUUGAUGAGCACGAGGGGAAGGCCGCUGCUUCAACCCCGUUAAGCUUACGUGUGGGAUUUGCUUCGGAAGUUGUCCACGUGAGUCAAUGGGUGCUGCUUCAUGUGGGCAUCCUUUCUGUGGUGUAUGUUGGAGAGGUUACACACCUGAUGAUGUUUACGGCUAGGCACAAGAACAAGCAGAGCCGAGGAAGUGCGGGCACGCGCUGCUGGCCUUGGCAGGUGUAGGAACCGUGCGAGGAAGGUUCAGCGCGCUGCACAAGUCGGGCCACGCCCGGAGCGCCGUGCCAACGCAUGUGUGCGUGGUCGGUGGGUUAGCCAAGAUCUGCAUUCUGCGACUUCAUCUUCACCAUGGACACAAGCAAGGACUGAUUGGUGGUUCUUGGUAGCGGUGCCGAGCAUCGGCGGAUCGAAGUGGUCGAGGUCGCGGUUAAUCCACCAGGACGAGACAUGCAUCUUGGAGCUAGCGCAGAGGGGGGAAGAAGCAGGUUGGUAUGGCCCGGAACUUUUGCGCAAAGAAAACACACACAGGGCAGGAACAUGACUACUCUUCCCCUUCCAAGUUUUUGAUCGAUCGAACUCUUCGGUGACCAGAAAAUGAGAAAAAGGCAGGCCGUCGAUGUACAGACCACAGGUGCUCGGACGCACGGCCGGCAUCAUGGUCGUCAUAACUCAUAACCCAUGAGGUGGUGACCAAGCAAGAAAGGAAGGAACUUUCGCGCAAAGAAAACACACAUAGGGCAGGAACAUGACUACUCUCGCCCUUCCAUGUUUCUGAUCGAUCGAACUCUUCGGUGACCAAAAAAUGAGAAAAGGGCAGGUCGUCGAUGUACAGACCACAGGUGCUCGGACGCACGGCCGGCAUCAUGGUGGUCAUAGCUCAUAACCCAUGAGGGGGUGACGAAGCAAGAAAGGAAGAACUCCCGGGCGACGAGCCCAAUGGCCUUGUACUUCGCCCAGACAAGCACCAUUGGGUCGACAUUGCAGCCAGCGGCUGCGGCCAUGCAUUCGGUAAUUCCAUGGCAUGAUGCAUAUAAAUUGGAUCUGUAGAUUCAUGAAGCUCCAAGCGAGCAAGAAGUUUCAGUCCACCUUUACUCAUGGCCUCCCCUUCUCGUCUGGUGGACGGCCUUGGCAAUCUGAACAAGCUUUACGCGACUGGCACUCUUGUUGAUCCCAUAUGAGAGUCAUUAAGCCAUUUUGUGCGCAAGGUUGAGAUAGUUGGGGCCUGUAACUGUGUUUUGAUCCCAUGAAUGUCAUUUUGCACCGAAGGUUUGUAACCAUUGGGGAAUGUUUUCUUGCUCUGAUGUAUCAAGUUGCCAUGGGGGUGAUCUAGAGGUCUCUUCCUUGUCCAAAGUAUGUCGUACCUAAUCAAGACAUGUUCAUUUAAUUUACCCGUCAUGUAAAUGACACAACAUGAUUCACUUGUGUAUAGUGUAAAAAUAUAUUUAUUUAUGGCACACAGGUGUUCAAAUUAUAGUUGUGAAACGUGUAUAGUGUAAAAAUAUAAUUAUUAAGGGAUGUGACGUCACA